ensembl:snoRNA U3 Small nucleolar RNA U3
AAGACUAUAUCUAUAGGUCAUUUCUAGAGAAGCUUCUCUGAACGUUUAGGGCAUAGGAAACCACGAGGAGGAGGCACAGCAUUCUCUCCUGAGCGUGGAAUUGGUGUGUUGCUUCACUGCAACUGGCUGUUCAUUUGCUAUUGGUGAUCAUUCCUCUCUUCCUUUGGGAGGGGAAUAGGGAGAGGACACAGUCAAG